UUGACUGUAACUCUAAAUGUGGUGUGCGAUAUUGAUAUACAACAAUGUUCAUAUACGCUUUGUGAUUUUUUAACUUCUAUUUAACUAGCAUUACUUUUGGCGACAUGAAGAGCUAUAUUUUUUGGCAGCCAGAGAUCUUGGCAUCUUGUUUCUACAUUAAAGAUCCUGGUUAUAUAAAGAAAGGUUUGGGCAGCAAUACUGAUGCUGAGGAUCCUUUAUUGAACACUGAUUUGGAUAGUUGGAUGCGAAACUGGACUCAACUGUGCCCUACUUGCAAGAUAUAAGACCCGUUCGCUCCAAGCACUGUCCUACAUACAAACGCUGCCUGGAAUAGUUUGAUUAUCAUUGCCCCUGGAUCUCAAAUUGUGUGG